AUUGAACGCUGGCGGCAGGCCUAACACAUGCAAGUCGAACGAGUGGCGGACGGGUGAGUAAUGUCUGGGAAACUGCCUGAUGGAGGGGGAUAACUACUGGAAACGGUAGCUAAUACCGCAUACCAUCGGAUGUGCCCAGAUGGGAUUAGCUAGUAGGUGGGGUAAAGGCUCACCUAGGCGACGAUCCCUAGCUGGUCUGAGAGGAUGACCAGCCAAACUGGAACUGAGACACGGUCCAGACUCCUACGGGAGGCAGCAGUGGGGAAUAUUGCACAAUGGGCGAAAGCCGGAUGCAGCCAUGCGGCGUGUAUGAAGAAGGCCUUCGGGUUGUAAAGUACUUUCAGCAGGGAGGCGUUACCCGCAGAAGAAGCAACGGCUAACUACGUGCCAGCAGCCGCGGUAAUAC
rnacentral:rRNA from 1 species